rnacentral:rRNA from 1 species
CCUACGGGUGGCACCAGUGGGGAAUAUUGCACAAUGGGCGCAAGCCUGAUGCAGCCAUGCCGCGUGUAUGAAGAAGGGCUUCGGGUUGUAAAGUACUUUCAGCGGGGAGGAAGGCGAUAAGGUUAAUAACCUUGACGAUUGACGUUACCCGCAGAAGAGGCACCGGCUAACUCCGUGCCAGCAGCCGAGGUAAUACGGAGGGUGCAAGCGCUAAUCGGAAUUACUGGGCGUAAAGCGCACGCAGGCGGUCUGUCCAGUCGGAUGUGAAAUCCCCGGGCUCAACCUGGGAACUGCAUUCGAAACUGGCAGGCUAGAGUCUUGUAGAGGGGGGUAGAAUUCCAGGUGUAGCGGUGAAAUGCGUAGAGAUCUGGAGGAAUACCGGUGGCGAAGGCGGCCCCCUGGACAAAGACUGACGCUCAGGUGCCAAAGCGUGGGGAGCAAACAGGAUUAGAUACCCUCGUAGUC